rnacentral:lncRNA from 1 species
AUAAAUUCAUGGGUCUAUAUAGGGCUACUACGCUCGCGUCCAACGCUCACGUCACGCCUUAAUGCGGUGCUACACUACGCCAUUAAGGUGGACAGACGGGUGUAUAAAUAUGUGCCCAUACCCCCUAUAUGAAUUAAACACUCAUAUAGGGCUACUACGCUCACGUCCAAUGCUCACGUCACACCAUAAUGCGGCUAUAUGCUACGCCAUUAAGGUGGACAUACACAUGGCUAGCUAGCAUUUUAUAUACAUACUCUCUCUUAUAAAUACAUAUUUAUAUCCACCGAAAAUCCCAUUUUCGGUAUCUCUCCAAGAGAAAUAAAAAUCGUCAAAAAUUAAAAUGACGUCAAAAUACUCCACGACAUUAAUUGUUCAACCAUGAACUAUAGCAUGCAUUUAUUUAAAAUAAACGUCCACUCACAAAUUUAGCCUAAGCCUGAUGUCGAUCUGGGGCCUCGUCUGCUCGAGCCUCCUCACGUCCUGUUCCAAAACAUAAAUAAUUCCUUAAAUAAAAUCUCAACGUUUAAAGAAAAUAGGCAUAAUUAAAUAUGAGCUUCUCGCGCUCAACCAUGCCUAUCGUCCUAAAUCUUAACUUCACUGCCAACCAAAAAUCUCCAUAAAUACCGACAUCCUCAAAAAUCACCUUCCAACGUCCUAAUUAUAAAAAUAAUCAAAUGGCCGGAUUUUAACUUAUUAAUCCGCCAAAAAUACCAAACUUUACAAAUUCCAAAACCUAACCAAAAAUCCUCCAAAAAUUCCUAAAUUCACCUCAAUAAUAUCCCCUUAAUAUUCUACAUCAAAAACCACAAAAUUUCCCAAAACAGCGGCGGCCGGCGACCAACUCCGGCGACCUGCAAAUGCUACCAAAUUUUAACAGAAUCUUCCUCUCAAUCUCCUCUACAACUUUCCUGACUAGCACAAACACCAAUUCCAAGCCUAACUAGGGCAAUCGACUAAAAACAUCAAAAACACCAUAAAACUUCCACCUCAAAUUUCUCCUUACCUA